rnacentral:rRNA from 1 species
GACGAACGCUGGCGGCGUGCUUAACACAUGCAAGUCGAGCGGAGCGGCGAACGGGUGAGUAACGCGUGAGUCACUGCCCCCCUCUCUGGGAUAACAGUUGGAAACGGCUGCUCAUACCGGAUAGUGGGGGAUGACUCGCGUCCUAUCAGCUUGUGGGUGGGGUAGUGGCCUACCAAGGCGACGACGGGUAGCCGGCCUGGGAGGUCGACCGGCCACAUUGGGCUGAGAGACGGCCCAGAAGCGUACGGUAGGCAGCAGUGGGGAAUAUGGCACAGUGGGGGAAACCCUGAGGCAGAAACGCCGCGUGCGGGAUGACGGCCUUCGGGUGGUAAACCGCUUUCAGCCAUGACGCGGUAGUGGCAGAAGAAGCACCGGCUAACUACGUGCCAGCCGCCGCGGUAAUUC